AGAAUUAGGGAGAGGUAAGCGGAAUUCUAAGUGUAGGGGUGCAAUCCGUAGAUACUUAGAAGAACACCAAAAGCGAAGGCAGCUUACUGGAACUAUAUUGACGCUGAGGAACGAAAGCGUGGGGAGCGAAAAGGAUUAGAUACCCUUGUAGUCCACGCCCUAAACGAUGAUAACUAAGUGUUGGGAGUUAAUCCCAGUGCUGAAGCUAACGCGAUAAGUUAUCCACCUGAGAAGUACGGUCGCAAGAUUAAAACUCAAAGGAAUAGACGGGGACCCACACAAGCAGUGGAUCAUGUGGUUUAAUUCGACAAUAAACGGGGAAUCUUACCCAGACUUGACAUCUAUGGAAUCCAUCAGAAAUGAAGGAGUGCCCGCAAGGGAAUCAUAAGACAGGUGCUGCAUGGUUGUCGUCAGCUCGUGCCUUGAGGUGUUCGGUUAAGUCCGUUAACGAGCGCAACCCACGUCGUAUGUUACUAUGUCAUACGAGACUGCUCGAGUUAAUCGAGAGGAAGGUGUGGAUGACGUCAAAUCAGCAUGGCCCUUAUGCCUAGGGCUACACACAUGAUACAAUGGUCGGUACAAAGGGUUGCCAAGUGGUAACACGGAGCCAAUCCCAUAAAGCCGAUCUCAGUCCGGAUUGAGGGCUGCAACUCGCCCUCAUGAAGCUGGAAUU
rnacentral:rRNA from 1 species